GAUGAACGCUGGCGGCGUGCCUAAUACAUGCAAGUCGAGCGAACAGACGAGGAGCUUGCUCCUCUGACGUUAGCGGCGGACGGGUGAGUAACACGUGGAUAACCUACCUAUAAGACUGGGAUAACUUCGGGAAACCGGAGCUAAUACCGGAUAAUAUAUUGAACCGCAUGGUUCAAUAGUGAAAGACGGUUUUGCUGUCACUUAUAGAUGGAUCCGCGCCGCAUUAGCUAGUUGGUAAGGUAACGGCUUACCAAGGCAACGAUGCGUAGCCGACCUGAGAGGGUGAUAGGCAACACUGGAACUGAGACACGGUCCAGACUCCUACGGGAGGCAGCAGUAGAGAAUCUUCCGCAAUGGGCGAAAGCCUGACGGAGCAACGCCGCGUGAGGGAUGAAGGUAUUCGGAUCGUAAAACUCGGUUAUUAGGGAAGAACAAAUGUGUAAGUAACUAUGCAAGUCUUGACGGUACAUAAUCAGAAAGCCACGGCUAACUACGUG
rnacentral:rRNA from 1 species